rnacentral:rRNA from 1 species
GCAAGUCGAGCGGACAGAUGGGAGCUUGCUCCCUGAUGUCAGCGGCGGACGGGUGAGUAACACGUGGGUAACCUGCCUGUAAGACUGGGAUAACUCCGGGAAACCGGGGCUAAUACCGGAUGCUUGAUUGAACCGCAUGGUUCAAUUAUAAAAGGUGGCUUUUAGCUACCACUUACAGAUGGACCCGCGGCGCAUUACCUAGUUGGUGAGGUAACGGCUCACCAAGGCAACAAUGCGUAGCCAACCUGAAAGGGUGAUCGGCCACACUGGGACUGAAACACGGCCCAAACUCCUACGGGAGGCAGCAGUAGGGAAUCUUCCGCAAUGGACAAAAGUCUGACGGAGCAACGCCGCGUGAGUGAUGAAGGUUUUCGGAUCGUAAAACUCUGUUGUUAGGGAAAAACAAGUACCGUUCGAAUAGGGCGGUACCUUGACGGUACCUAACCAAAAAGCCACGGCUAACUACGUGCCAGCAGCCGCGGUAAUACGUAGGUGGCAAGCGUUGUCCGGAAUUAUUGGGCGUAAAGCGCGCGCAGGCGGUUUCUUAAGUCUGAUGUGAAAGCCCCCGGCUCAACCGGGGAGGGUCAUUGGAAACUGGGGAACUUGAGUGCAGAAAAGGAGAGUGGAAUUCCACGUGUAGCGGUGAAAUGCGUAAAGAUGUGGAGGAACACCAGUGGCGAAGGCGACUCUCUGGUCUGUAACUGACGCUGAGGCGCGAAAGCGUGGGGAGCGAACAGGAUUAGAUACCC